UUUUACAGGGGUGCUCGGUACAUCGCUUGAUGCACAGAGCUGAGAUCACACCCUUCGACCUGAUCUGGAUAAUACCAGCGUAGGGAAUGC
rnacentral:ncRNA from 1 species